UGCAAGUCGAACGCGUUGGCCCAAUUGAUUGAUGGUGCUUGCACCUGAUUGAUUUUGGYCKCCAACRAGUGGCGGACGGGUGAGUAACACGUAGGUAACCUGCCCAGAAGCGGGGGACAACAUUUGGAAACAGAUGCUAAUACCGCAUAACAACGUUGUUCGCAUGAACAACGCUUAAAAGAUGGCUUCUCGCUAUCACUUCUGGAUGGACCUGCGGUGCAUUAGCUUGUUGGUGGGGUAACGGCCUACCAAGGCGAUGAUGCAUAGCCGAGUUGAGAGACUGAUCGGCCACAAUGGGACUGAGACACGGCCCAUACUCCUACGGGAGGCAGCAGUAGGGAAUCUUCCACAAUGGGCGCAAGCCUGAUGGAGCAACACCGCGUGAGUGAAGAAGGGYUUCGGCUCGUAAAGCUCUGUUGUUAAAGAAGAACACGUAUGAGAGUAACUGUUCAUACGUUGACGGUAUUUAACCAGAAAGUCACGGCUAACUACGUGCCAGCAGCCGCGGUAAUACGUAGGUGGCAAGCGUUAUCCGGAUUUAUUGGGCGUAAAGAGAGUGCAGGCGGUUUUCUAAGUCUGAUGUGAAAGCCUUCGGCUUAACCGGAGAAGUGCAUCGGAAACUGGAUAACUUGAGUGCAGAAGAGGGUAGUGGAACUCCAUUGUUWAGCGGGUGA
rnacentral:rRNA from 2 species